GCUCUCAUUACGGUGGAAGGCUGGUUAAACCGUUUGGUUUUCGACCACUAGGACCCGGGUUCGAUUCCCGCAUUGGACA